rnacentral:rRNA from 1 species
UACGAAGGGGGCUAGCGUUGCUCGGAAUCACUGGGCGUAAAGCGCACGUAGGCGGCUUUCUAAGUCAGGGGUGAAAUCCUGGAGCUCAACUCCAGAACUGCCUUUGAUACUGGAGAGCUUGAGUCCGGAAGAGGUGAGUGGAACUCCGAGUGUAGAGGUGAAAUUCGUAGAUAUUCGGAAGAACACCAGUGGCAAAGGCGGCUCACUGGUCCGGUACUGACGCUGAUGUGCGAAAGCGUGGGGAGCAAACAGG